rnacentral:lncRNA from 1 species
GGGCCAUUGUGGUCUUAAUUUCUGUAGCCUCCACAGUGUUUGACAUGGCCUUCAGCACAUGGGUAGUAGGAGUCAAGAUGGUUGGACUUAACAGUCUCCACUUCACCAAGGCUUUCAAGGAGUUUCCAGAAAAUUCGAUACUCUUUAUUUAAGUUUUAUAUGUGCAACUCUUUAGAGGCCAAACUGCAAAGACUAGAAGCCCUCCCCUUAGCUCCGCCUUUAAUUGGAACAAAGUCAUACAGGCAGCAUAUGUCUUCCUCACAUUUUUCCCUAGAAGACUCAGUGUGGGCAUAUGAUGACCAAAUGUGCUUCGUGGUCUCGCUUUCACUGUCUCCUGUUUCUCAGGCUUCUUUUUACAGUUAAGUCCUUGGAGCUCCAGAAGUGACAUUACAACCACUUUGUCAAUAAUUCUUUCAUUUCAAGUCAGAUAACGAAGUGGCGGCUCAGAUCUCACUGUCGUUUGUAACAGGAACAAUGCUCAGUAGCAAAUUGGAAGCUGCAAAUAGCCAACUUUUUCUGUGAUUUUCUAGGUUGCUUUCUUUUUUCAGGAAUGGGAAGACAGAAUGAAAGAAAUGUGUGUUCAAAUCCUGGAGCCUUACCAAGCUCUGGCCAUCCAAUGCAAACUACUCUUGAUCCUUGAGACUUGGUCUUAAAGGAACCAACUUCACUAGCUCGUGGCAUGGUUCAAACUAUAGUUCUUUCUCCACAGGAAGCCUUCAUUUUGAAUUUGAUGGAGUUGUGAAGUCAAUAGGACCUGGAAAGUGAAUCCUGAGCAUGUUGGGAAGCACAAGCAAGCAUGCAAGUGUUGUAAAUGUAUAUUUAGUUCAAAUUCAACCCCAUUGUUAUUUCCUGGCCUUCUUCCAAGAGAUCUUACGAGUUAUCAGUCUCGCCGCCACGACAGUGUGCUUUCUGACCACUUCCCCUUUGCAAUUAAGGACUGUGACCACUCGCUUACGCACAGACUGAGAACAGCAGCCUUAACCCCAAAGGAGGUCAGAAACUCCCAGUUCUCCCCACCGAGGGGGCUAGCUGAGAACCUGAUACCUUGUGUUUUCAGCCUGUGGCUAAGGCCGUGACCAUAGAAACUGG